rnacentral:rRNA from 1 species
AUUGAACGCUGGCGGCAGGCCUAACACAUGCAAGUCGAGCGGAUGAAGGGAGCUUGCUCCUGGAUUCAGCGGCGGACGGGUGAGUAAUGCCUAGGAAUCUGCCUGGUAGUGGGGGAUAACGUCCGGAAACGGGCGCUAAUACCGCAUACGUCCUGAGGGAGAAAGUGGGGGAUCUUCGGACCUCACGCUAUCAGAUGAGCCUAGGUCGGAUUAGCUAGUUGGUGGGGUAAAGGCCUACCAAGGCGACGAUCCGUAACUGGUCUGAGAGGAUGAUCAGUCACACUGGAACUGAGACACGGUCCAGACUCCUACGGGAGGCAGCAGUGGGGAAUAUUGUACAAUGGGCGAAAGCCUGAUCCAGCCAUGCCGCGUGUGUGAAGAAGGUCUUCGGAUUGUAAAGCACUUUAAGUUGGGAGGAAGGGCAGUAAGUUAAUACCUUGCUGUUUUGACGUUACCAACAGAAUAAGCACCGGCUAACUUCGUG